AUUAAACGCUGGCGGCAUGCCUUACACAUGCAAGUCGAACGGCAGCACGGGGGCAACCCUGGUGGCGAGUGGCGGACGGGUGAGUAAAGCAUCGGAACGUAUCCUGGAGUGGGGGAUAACGUAGCGAAAGUUACGCUAAUACCGCAUAUUCUGUGAGCAGGAAAGCAGGGGAUCGCAAGACCUUGCGCUCUGGGAGCGGCCGAUGUCGGAUUAGCUAGUUGGUGGGGUAAAGGCCUACCAAGGCGACGAUCCGUAGCGGGUCUGAGAGGAUGAUCCGCCACACUGGAACUGAGACACGGUCCAGACUCCUACGGGAGGCAGCAGUGGGGAAUUUUGGACAAUGGGCGCAAGCCUGAUCCAGCCAUGCCGCGUGAGUGAAGAAGGCCU
rnacentral:rRNA from 1 species